ensembl:lncRNA LINC01405 long intergenic non-protein coding RNA 1405
ACUUCUCUCUCUGUCUCUCCUGCCACCAUGUGAAGAAGGUGCUUGUUUCCCCUUUGCCUUCCGCCAUGAGUGUAAGUUUCCUGAGGUCUCCCAGUCAUACUGCUGGUUAAGCCUGCAGAACGGCUGGUCUUGAACUCCCAGCCUCAAGCCAUCCUCCCGCCUUGGCCUUUCAAAGUGCUGGAUUACAAGCGUGAGCCACCGUGCACAGCCAAGACACAAUUUUAAAUCGAGCGGUCAGGAAGCCUCCUGGAGAAAAUGACGUUUGAACAAAGACAUGAAGAAAGUGGAGAAUAUUUGGAGAAAAGCAUUUCAGGCAGAGGAAAGUGCCAGGGCAGAGGCCCCGAGGUGCUGCUGACAGCCAUCGUGUGCUGCGGAGGAAGAUUGCCUGAGAAUGGAGCCAUUCAGGAGGAAAUGGGGCAGAGAAAUAAAGAGAAAUCAAAUCCCAUCUUUUCAGUCCCGCUUCCCUCACUCCCUCAUCCAUUCUUCCUGGCAGACUAUUCAGUUGUGCUUUUUAAGAUUUAUUCUGUUUUUGUUUUUCACCUAAGACGGUUUAGCUUGUUUGUUUUUCUCUUGUUUGCAACCAGUGUGUUCUAGCGGUUAUUACGAAUUUAAUAGACUUUAUACAAGAUUUUGUAAAGGGCAGAAAACUCAAGAUUGGACAGUGACUUUCUCCUAGGACACUAUCUUGCCGGUGCCCUCACCUCAGUCUCCACCCUGGAUCUCCGAUUUUGUCCCUGAAACUUCAAAUUCUUUUCCUUCAAUUAUACAAUGCAGCAGCUCUCCUUUCAGUAGUGCUACUUUGUACCCUACCCUGGGGAAGAGGUAGCUCAUAUUCGAACCUGAGCUCUUGGCAAGGUCUUUUUCCAGAUCUAAGGCAGUUCCCUUCCUAAGGGAGAGUCAGAUGCCACUGAGGAGAGAGAAAGGUAGUCGGAGGGAAUGUUAUGGCAGACACUGUGGUUGCUCACUAAUGUAACAUCCCUUCUCUUCUUCCUUGCUGUAAGGACUCUAAUCUUGUUCCGGGAUUUAAGGAAGGUGGGUUCAGCCUCUGGCUUAGAGGAUGGGCAUGUAACCCAGUCUGACCAGCAAGGUAUAAAGGUCAAUUUAUGGGCAGUCUGGGAAAGUUUUUCUUCCCCGAUAAGAGGAAAACAUAAGGGGAUCUCUCUGCUCUAAGCCUCCAAUUACUUCCUUCUCCAAAAGCAGUUAUGUGAGGAUGUGAUGCCUGGAGCUGUGGAAGCCAUUUUGUGACCAUGAGGAGAAAGCCAAGAGAAUAACAGAGACACUAUCCCAAUGUCCUGAGUAUUGUUCAGCUAUGAAACUAACCCUGGAAACUCCUUGGGCCACAUAGUAGAUAUUUUAAGUUUUGCCAGCCAUAUGUCUCUGUCAUGACUACUAAACUCUUCAUUUAUAUCGUGACAGC